rnacentral:rRNA from 1 species
CAAUAGCGUAUAUUAAAGUUGUUGCGGUUAAAAAGCUCGUAGUUGGAUUUCUGCUGAGAACGACCGGUCCGCCCUUUGGGUGUGUAUCUGGCUCUUUCUUGGCAUCUUCUUGGUGAACGUUGCUGCACUUGACUGUGUGGAGCGCUACCCAGGACUUUUACUUUGAGGAAAUUAGAGUGUUUCAAGCAGGCAUACGCCUUGAAUACAUUAGCAUGGAAUAAUAAGAUAGGACCUCGGUUCUAUUUUGUUGGUUUCUAGAGCUGAGGUAAUGAUUAAUAGGGAUAGUUGGGGGCAUUCGUAUUUAACUGUCAGAGGAGAAAUUCUUGGAUUUGUUAAAGACGGACUACUGCGAAAGCAUUUGCCAAGGAUGUUUUCAUUGA